UGAGGGAUAUUGGUCAAUGGGCGCAAGCCUGAACCAGCGACGCCGCGUGGGUGAAGAAGGUCUUCGGAUCGUAAAGCCCUUUUCCCACUGAAGAGGAAGGACGGUAGGUGGGGAAGAAGUCUCGGCUAACUACGUGCCAGCAGCCGCGGUAAAACGUAGGAGACAAGCGUUAUCCGGAGUUACUGGGCGUAAAGGGCGUGCAGGUGGCGUCUUAAGUCUGUUGUGAAAGCGCCUGGCUUGACCGGGCGAGGCCAAUGGAGACUGAGAGGCUGGAGGACGGCGGAGGGGUGUGGAAUUCCGGGUAUAGUGGUGAAAGGCGUAGAGAUCCGGAGGAACACCAGAGGCGAAGGCGGCACUCUAAGCCGUACCUGACACUGAGACGCGACAGCACGGGGAGCAA
rnacentral:rRNA from 1 species